rfam:Cytophaga hutchinsonii ATCC 33406, complete genome.
UUACCUUGGAGUCCAGAAACCAUAUCAAAAACGGGGCGAUACUGAAAAGCCAUACGAGUAGGAAUUAA